AGUGAACGCUGGCGGUAGGCCUAACACAUGCAAGUCGAACGGCAGCACAGAGGAGCUUGCUCCUUGGGUGGCGAGUGGCGGACGGGUGAGGAAUACAUCGGAAUCUACUCUGUCGUGGGGGAUAACGUAGGGAAACUUACGCUAAUACCGCAUACGACCUACGGGUGAAAGCAGGGGCUCUUCGGACCUUGCGCGAUUGAAUGAGCCGAUGUCGGAUUAGCUAGUUGGCGGGGUAAAGGCCCACCAAGGCGACGAUCCGUAGCUGGUCUGAGAGGAUGAUCAGCCACACUGGAACUGAGACACGGUCCAGACUCCUACGGGAGGCAGCAGUGGGGAAUAUUGGACAAUGGGCGCAAGCCUGAUCCAGCCAUACCGCGUGGGUGAAGAAGGCCUUCGGGUUGUAAAGCCCUUUUGUUGGGAAAGAAAUCCAUCUGGUUAAUACCCGGGUGGGAUGACGGUACCCAAAGAAUAAGCACCGGCUAACUUCGUGCCAGCCGCCGCCGCCG
rnacentral:rRNA from 1 species